UGCCGGCCAGCGGGAGAGAGUCCAACCGGAAUUCCGGAAGGGCCGCCGAAGGGGAAAUCGCCCGAAAUCUCUCAGGCAAAAGAACCGUCGGCCGGUU
rnacentral:ncRNA from 2 species